rnacentral:lncRNA from 1 species
UACUCUUAAGCCUCAUCAAGUAUAGUGGCAGUGUCCAUCCUUGUAGAAACCCAUGGCAUCAGUUCUCUUAAGCAUUUCACCCUCCCAGUGAUUCUCUGUCGUGUAAGAAGCGAAGCUGAUGAAGAAGACGACCCAGUACCAUGAUCAAAAGCAGACGGCUUCAUUUGGUUUCAUCAUCUGGGCCGACCUUAAUUUUCAGUUUCUCGGAAACAACCACGAGGAUUUCAAUCACCGACUCAAGAGUCUGCGCGUUUCUCAAAACAGAUUGAGUUGUUGUUGCUGUUGACUUGAGUUAUGAGAGGCAGUAGUGGUUGGUAACUGUCAUAACUGUAAAUAAGAAAAGGGCAUGUGACGAAAGUUAGUUAGUUGGGUCAGAGUUGUUGAUUGUUAGUUAGAAAGUCUGUUGAGAUAGUUAGGAGGC